GGAGACGUGUCCGAGUGGCUUAAGGAGCACGCUUGGAAAGCGUGUAUGCGGCAACGUAUCUAGGGUUCAAAUCCCUACGUCUCCGCCA
rnacentral:tRNA from 2 species